CCUACGGGAGGCAGCAGUGGGGAAUAUUGCGCAAUGGGCGAAAGCCUGACGCAGCGACGCCGCGUGAGGGAUGAAGGUCUUCGGAUCGUAAACCUCUGUCAGCAGGGAAGAACGGUCACUGUGCUAAUCAGCAGUGAAUUGACGGUACCUGCAAAGGAAGCACCGGCUAACUCCGUGCCAGCAGCCGCGGGAAUACGGGGGGUGCGAGCGUUAAUCGGAAUUACUGGGCGUAAAGCGCUCGUAGGCGGUAUGUCAAGUCAAGGGUGAAAUCCCCGCGCUCAACGUGGGAACUGCCGUGGAAAAUGGCAGACUGGAGUGUGGGAGAGGAUAGUGGAAUUCCAGGUGUAGGAGUGAAAUCCGUAGAUAUCAGGAGGAACAUCAGUGGCGAAGGCGACUAUCUGGCACAUAACUGACGCUGAGGAGCGAAAGCGUGGGUAGCAAACAGGAUUAGAUACCCUUGUAGUC
rnacentral:rRNA from 1 species